rnacentral:rRNA from 1 species
AUGGUGUAUCCGGCGCGGCCAUAUAAGCCGGCCCAACCGGGGCCAGUUCACUCCCAUCGUCUCUCCCUUCCUUCGCCCACUGCACUCCCACUCCUACGCUUCCCCGCCUCGAUCGCCAUUCCGUCGAGCACAUCCCGGGCGACGCAGGCGGCCAUGGAGGACGGCGGCGCGAGGGCUGCCGCGGUGCAGAAGCUGAUGGCGGCCAAGGCCAAGUCCGGGAAGAGCUUCUCCGACAUCGGGGCCGAGACGGGGCUCACCAACGUGUAUGUCGCGCAGCUGCUGCGCCGCCAGGCGCAGCUCAAGCCCGACACGGCGGCCGCGCUGCGGGCGGCCAUCCCGGCGCUCACCGAGGAUCUCGUGGAGCUCAUGAUGCAGCCGCCCUUCCGGUCCUACAACCCGAAAAUGGUCCACGAGCCCGCCAUAUACAGACUGAAUGAAGCUAUCAUGCAUUUUGGAGAGAGCAUCAAGGCAAUCAUCAACGAGGACUUUGGUGAUGGAAUCAUGUCGGCUAUAGACUUCUACUGUACAGUCGACAAAGUUAAAGGGGCUGAUGGAAAAGACCGUGUGGUGCUCACAUUUGAUGGGAAGUAUCUGCCUCACACUGAACAGAAAGCCGCGAAUAUGAUGUCGAAGUUGCCCUGCAAGGCACCUUGA